UUGACCUCAAAUCAGGUAGGACUACCCGCUGAACUUAAGCAUAUCAAUAAGCGGAGGAAAAGAAACUAACAAGGAUUCCCCUAGUAACUGCGAGUGAAGCGGGAAGAGCUCAAAUUUGAAAUCUGGCGGUUCUUGACCGUCCGAGUUGUAAUCUAGAGAAGUGCUACCUGUGCUGGACCGUGUACAAGUCUCCUGGAAUGGAGCAUCACAGAGGGUGAGAAUYCCGUCUUUGACACGGACUGCCUGUACGUUGUGGUGCGCUCUCGAAGAGUCGAGUUGUUUGGGAAUGCAGCUCAAAAUGGGUGGUAAAUGCCAUCUAARGCUAAWAUUKGCGAGAGACCGAUAGCGAACCAGUACCGUGAGGGAA
rnacentral:rRNA from 1 species